AAUAAAGUCUAACCUGCCCACUGAAAAAUUUUAAAUGGCUGCAGUAAUUUGACUGUACAAAGGUAGCAUAAUCAUUAGUUUUUUAAUUAAAAGCUUGUAUGAAAGGUUGGACGAGGUAAAAUCUGUCUCUUUUUAAUAUAAUUAGAAUUUAAUUUUUAAGUAAAAAAGCUUAAAUUUUUAUAAAAGACGAGAAGACCCUAUAGAGUUUAAUAAUUAAAAUAAGAUAAUUAAUUUAGAUUUAUUAAUUUUAUUUUAUUUAAAUUAUUUUAUUGGGGUAAUAAAAAGAUUUAGGAAAUUCUUUUUUUUAAAACCAUUAAUUUAUGAUUAUAUGAUCCAUUAAUAAUGAUUAUAAGAUUAAAUUACCUUAGGGAUAACAGCGUAAUUUUUUUAAAGAGUUCUUAUCGAUAAAAAAGUUUGCGACCUCGAUGUUGGAUUAAAGAUUAAUUUAGGUGUAGAAGUUUAAAUAUUUGGUCUGUUCGACCAUUGAAUCUUUACAUGAUCUGAGUUCAAACCGGUGUAAGCCAGGUUGGUUUCUAUCUUUAUUUUUUUUUUAUAUUUUAGUACGAAAGGACCAAAUAUAAAAUAUAUUAAUAUUUAAUUUUUGAAUAUUAUU
rnacentral:rRNA from 1 species